GAAAUGCGAUAAGUAGUGUGAAUUGCAGAAUUCAGUGAAUCAUCGAAUCUUUGAACGCACAUUGCGCCCUUUGGUAUUCCUUAGGGCAUGCCUGUUCGAGCGUCAUCUAAACCCUCAAGCCCUGCUUGGUGUUGGGUGCCUGUCCCGCCCCCGUGCGUGGACUCACCUCAAAUCCAUUUGCGGCCCUCGUGCCGGCCCCGAGCGCAGCAGAAACGCGGUCUCGUGGCCCGGCGGAGCGUGCCCCCAGAAGCAACAUUCACCGUUUUGACCUCGGAUCAGGUAGGGAUACCCGCUGAACUUAAGC
rnacentral:misc_RNA from 1 species